AAGUGACGGUACCUGUAGAAGAAGGACCGGCCAACUACGUGCCAGCAGCCGCGGUAAUACGUAGGGUCCGAGCGUUGUCCGGAAUUACUGGGCGUAAAGAGCUCGUAGGUGGUUUGUCGCGUUGUUCGUGAAAACUCACAGCUUAACUGUGGGCGUGCGGGCGAUACGGGCAGACUGGAGUACUGCAGGGGAGACUGGAAUUCCUGGUGUAGCGGUGGAAUGCGCAGAUAUCAGGAGGAACACCGGUGGCGAAGGCGGGUCUCUGGGCAGUAACUGACGCUGAGGAGCGAAAGCGUGGGGAGCGAACAGGAUUAGAUACCCUGGUAGUCCACGCCGUAAACGGUGGGUACUAGGUGUGGGUUUCCUUCCUUGG
rnacentral:rRNA from 1 species